AAUACGCCCGUCCCCAGCAUCCCCACAGCACCCAGCACCCCUUCCCUUCCCCACCAUGAGUCCUCGGCCUCACGCCUUCGCCCUCCUCCUCCUCCUGGCCGCCGUCCCAGGGCUGCGGGCGGCCAAGAUCUUGGAUGAGUCCGGAGGGGGCCUCGUGAGUCCCGGGGGGUCCCUGACCCUGGUCUGCAAGGGCUCCGGAUACACCUUCAGCAGCAACGGCAUGGGAUGGGUGCGACAGGCACCUGGGAAGGGGCUCGAAGAGGUCGCAGCUAUUAGGAACGAUGGUAGUAGCACAUGGUACGCGCCGGCGGUGAAGGGACGCUUCACCAUCUCCAGGAACAACGGGCAGAGCACGCUCACCCUGCAGAUGAACAGCCUCAAGGCCGAAGACACCGCCACCUACUACUGCGCGAGAGGUCCUAGUGGUUAUACUACAGCUGCUGGUAGUGACAUUGCUGGUGCUCCUGGUGCUGGUUACAUUGAUGGUUGGGGUGACAUUAAAAAUGGUCUUGGUGAUGUUGACGGUCUUGGCAUUGAUUGUGGUGGUGGUGGUGGUGGUGCUGGUGGUGGUGGUCACAUCGCUCAUCUUGAUCACCCAAAUCCCUGGCAUUCCACCCCAAAUCAUUUGCUGAACCCAACUCAUUCCACUGACCCCAAGGUACUAAAUUAA